rnacentral:rRNA from 1 species
CAGUCGCCACGGUAAUACGAGGGGGGCAAGCGUUGCUCGGAUUUAUUGGGCGUAAAGGGUGCGUAGGCGGUUUGGCAAGUCUUGUGUGAAAUCUAUGGGCUCAACCCAUAGCCUGCACGAGAAACUACCGGGCUUGAGUGAUGGAGAGGUGAGUGGAAUUUCCGGUGUAGCGGUGAAAUGCGUAGAUAUCGGAAGGAACACCUGUGGCGAAAGCGGCUCACUGGACACUAACUGACGCUGAUGCACGAAAGCUAGGGGAGCAAACAGGAUUAGAUACCCCAGUAGUCCCUGUCUCUUAUAC